AAGGCAACUUUUUGCCGAGUGAAUCGAACAUCGAUCUCUCUCUUUUUCCCUGUUGCCUAAAUCAAUUAAUGGUUGUGAAGAUUAAUUUGAUCGAUUACUUGUUGAUAAAAUCUAUCUUUUUCUCUUUGCUGCUACAUUA
rfam:Arabis alpina cultivar Pajares Aa.chr8_contig_64, whole genome shotgun sequence.